rnacentral:rRNA from 1 species
AUGACAAUCAAGAUAUUCAAGAAGAAAGAUGAUGGUGACUGGUGGUUGUACUUUGGUUAUGAUAAUCAGAACCAUGGUGUUGUUGGAUUUUGGCCAAAAAGUAUUUUCAAUAAUAUGGCACCCCAUGCAAAUUAUAUACAAUGGGGUGGUUACACCAUGUCUGAUCCUGGGAGUGCUAGUCCCGCAAUGGGCAAUGGGCAUUGGCCUGGAAUUUAUUCAGCAACCGUUCAAGACGAGUCAGAUUUGUUGAUGACAAUGGUAGAGGCUACAUAA